UGCAGCCCAGGAACAGCCAGUGCAUCCAGAACCAGCUGACCACCAGCAUGAUGAGGGAUAUGGGGAAGCUGAAGAGGAACCAGGUGCCGAAGUUCACCACGUCUGCGGCUGGAUACUGGCUGGAGGGCAAAGAACCAGUGGAAUCAUGCCAGGAAGACCAUUAUUCGUUCAGUUGCCUUACAAUCUUAGGAUACUCAAAUAAAAUAUUUGCAGUGUCCCUGAAGCAUCUUUGAAGGCGGGUUUGAGGACCUCUGAUCUACAUCAACCCCCAGCUUUUCUAGUUGAAGACACGGGGGCUCAGGCAUUGGACUGCCUUGCUACAGUCAAAGACAGGGUCUCACUAUGUUGUCCAGGCUGGGCUCAAAUUCCUGGGCCACAGCGAUCCUCCUGCCUCAGCCUCCUAAGUAGCUGGAACUAUAUGGGCACACCACUGUGCCCAGCUGAAGUCCACCAUUUUACUGGCCUUUUACACCUCUCAUGAAAAGAUGUAAAACCAGACUUGGGGGAGUGAGGUAAGUUCGAGUAGCUGUAUGCAGGUAAACUCUGCUUUCCCCUAUAAAUGUGUCCUUUUAAUUUUAUUUUUUGAGAUGGGGGUCUUGCUCUGUU